AGCUUUGCGCAGUGGCAGUAUUAUAGCCAAUGAUGUUUUAUCCAAGGUGUGUAUUGCUAAUUAAAAACUUUUCCCAGGCCA
rnacentral:snRNA from 1 species